ensembl:lncRNA
GUAAUUCCAAUUAACAUUAAGAAUGUUAAUGAGAAUAUGCCCCUCUAGGGGCUGGAGAGGGGGAGGUGAGGGAGCAGGUUUGUAGUUCUGAUUUAAAUAACAAGUGACUUUUGUGGAGAAUACCAGCAUGUGGUCUUAUGCACUUAUAUUGUGGAAAUGCAGUGGCUCUGAAUGAAAGCGCACAAUUUAUACAUUGAUGCUCAGUGAUGCUUAGCCAAGUGAACCCGUUGUUGGGGGCAAAUAUUAAAUCCCAACGUGCCUUCUCCAGGCGUAAGCGUUUUUUUUUUUUUUUAAUGUUUAGUUCUCUUUUCUUUAUGCACAAGUGUAAAAGUCUCUACUGAGAAGGAAUGAAUUCUAGUUUUGUGACUUUUUUUUUUAAAGAUUAAUUUAGUUUGAAGGAGCAAGCGAUUUGAUGACUUGUUGUUUCUCAAGCAUGUAGAAUGUAAUGAACAGCUUUCAAGGCCUUAAGUAGUAACAUGCUUCUAUACUUUGAGUAAUUUUCUUGAUGUUCUUCUAAUGUUCAAGGAAGAAGCACAUUUAACAUCAGAUUUCUAAAUAACAACAACCAACUAAAAAAAGCUAUGAAAUCAUUAUCUUUCCUUUGGUAGUGUGAUGUCACUGGUGAUAUUUUGAGGAAUUCUGUGUAAGUGAAGAGUAACUAUAUCACUUCCAUUUCUGAAAAUGGAAGGUGACAUUGUGAAGUGGAUUUUAAGGCAAGAAAGUAUGCAAUAUACAUGUUAUAAUUGCAGGCAAAUGUAGUUAAUAUAUUAAAUGGAAUUCCUAUUUCAUUUUACCAGAUGAAAAUAGAGCCAGUGUUUAUGUGUGAAAUAUAAAAUACUCUCCAAUGUUAUCCAACCAGAGAAAAAAACCAAAAUGCAACGAAGAGGGAAACAAAUGUAUAGGAGAAAAAAGAAAGAAAGAAAGAAAGAAAAAAAAAAAAAAAAAAAAAAGGAAUAGGUGAAUGCAGUUUCUUGAGGUGACUUAUCGUCAGACUAAACAGAUGUGCACAAGGAGUCUUCGUUAGCAAGCCCUACAUGCAGACCGUUCUUCCACUGUGCAGAGCAGCAUCUCCAUUCAAAUCUGAAUCUGAGCCAUGCUCCAUUCUUCUUAUUAUUACUGUGGCGGUUGAACUUCAGAAGAAGUAUCUUUUUCCUGUCUCUUCCCAACUAGGGACAGAGACCUGAAUAUGAAAAGCAGUCAAAAAGAUGAUAUUACAGCUCCAUCUACACAGCUUCACCCUGCACUCAGAGCCAUAUUUAAGCACUCUCUCUGAGAAAAUACUCAUAGCACGUUAGAAGCUCUGAGAGUACUGCAGGCAGAUUUUGUGCCUGUCCCUGUUUCCUUGAAUUGGAGUGGGCUGCUAACAGGAAAAUUUCAUUUCCUUUUCGUUACGCAGCUGUUGGCUGUCUGAGAUUGCUGAUACAGUGAGGAUAUGGGCAGAGAUGUCUCAGUGAGACCUGGAGAGAUUGCUAACAGGAUUUAUGCAUUAUCAGAAGAUCACUGAAUAUCAAGAGUAAGGAAAGAACACACAUAUAUAUAUUUGCAAAUGUUGGCUGUACUAUCGGCUUCAAAGAGAGUUAACCAGGUCUGUGGUCAGUUUUCUUGAUAUUUCAUCUAGAUUUCUCACAAAAAUAUAACGAUAUAUAUUGAGCAUAUAAUGAUGAUUAGAGAUGGUAGAAAGACUUUUUUUUUUUUCAGAAAGCGUGCUUUUGAAAUAAUCUUUGACUCAAACUUCUUGUAGGAUGCUCUGAUGUUAAUGCAUAUUUUCCCUCUUCUGGAAAGUUAAGUAUAUUGCUGUCAUCAGCAUUAGAAACGUAUUGCCACUCAGCUUUGUGUUUGUUCUGCAGGAGUUGUUUACAUGCUGCUGUAUUUAAAGACCCACGUGCAACUGCUACGUGCUGUAAAGAGAUACUUUAUAUUAGGAUGCUUUUCUUCCCAAACUAGUGUCUGCUUUCUCUCCUGUGGCAUUCAAACCCUCUUGAAUGAGGUUUCUGAGGUGCCAAAAAUAUUUGCUCACUGCAUAACUGUUACAUCCAGAAGUGAAUCCCCACCCCAGAGGAACAAUCCUGCAUCUGUCGUGCCCUUCUGCUGGCAGCCCACACUCCUUCACCAGAUAACUGGGUUGUCCAUCUGCUUGCCCACUUCCCACUUGUGCUUCAGGGUCAUCCUGACCUGCAGUAGGAGCCUCAUUCACAUGCUGGCACACCUCCACACACUGUCCUUUGUGGCUCCCACAAGGUCUGUGCAUCCCAUCAUAUUCCCCACCAGUGAUUGAUCACUGGCACUCUGUGCAGCAGCGCAGUCUCAUGCUGAGGUCCUUGACACCAUGGCCAUCUGGGAUGAGCCGUGCUCACCAACGAAUCAAAGGCAGAUGAUCAAACUUUAUGCUCAUCUACAUUAACUCAAGAUUUUUUUUUUUCUUUUAAAUGUAGUACUCAUUUUUUGCAGUCUACAGAACAAUAUAGAAUGUUUUUACAUGAUUUAUGUUGUUCAUGGCUCCUUCCCUCUGUCAGAGGGGGAAUUUCCCCUGCACAUCAGCAUUUUAGUUUUUCUAAUGCACUUUUCAGCAGAAUUCUUCCCCACUUGAAACCAUGUCUCAGAUAUCUUCUCCAAAGGAAAAUAUGAAGCAGUUGUUAGAAACAUAUCUGGAGGGGGUAGCUUAAAACACUGAUCCAGCUGUCUGCAGACAGAAAGUCCUACAAUAAAUGUUUAAUCCAAAAAGCACAGUUCACUCACAAUGUCCACGCAAUGCUUCCCAUCACUCCAGAAGAAAAUUAAAUACCGUAUGAAGUUCCAAAGUUAGCAGUGAUGUUCAAAUACCAGCCCACAACUUCUGUCACCACUUUAUACUGCCUUCUAAAUGUCAAUUCUACCACAAGCAUAGGGAAGCAAAUGUUAGGUAAGUAGCCUCUAUUUGACCUUGUAUUUUCAAAGUCUUUCCCAAAGCUAAAUCCCUGUCCUUCCUUUGGUCAAGUUGCAAAUAUAGAAAGAAGAGUAAUGUAAAAAUCAUUUUAAUGUAGAGCUUAGUGGGAGGAACUAUGGGCAUAUUAUUGUUGGCCUGAUGCCAAUGCUGUUGAAUUACUGCUUUCUUUCCCUUAUGGAGGCUGAGACCUUGUAGCAGCAAUGGGGAGAGCGCUCAUAUUAAGGAACUGUCUAACUGAUUGCCACAGGAAGAAAAUAGAGCUCAACACUACUUUAUCUUCAGAGAACUUAUCCAGAGAGAAGAAGGGGAGAUAAAGAUGAGGCAAGAUGAGAUUUAGAUGGAUAGUUUUGAGAAAGAGAAUAGAUGACCUAAUAGAUGCUGUAAGUUAUAGCAAUUGAGUUAAUGUGUAUACAACCAAUGUGAUGCAAAUGCUUUGAGGUGACCCCAGCCCAAAAUUCCAGUUAGAGGAGCAGAGGAGCAGGACGCUGUGGGAUAUCUGACCUGAAUGCAUGAAGCCUUUUUUCAAACAUGUGGAAAUACUUUGCGGGCUGCAAAGCAGCGAGGCAAAGAUAUUUUGAUCAUGGAAUGACAAUGCAGUGAGCAUGCACGCCUCAUGCAACAGCUGUAAAUCAUUUAGCAUGACACAGAAACCCCAUACAAUAUAGAGGAGCAGUACAAGUCUUCCAGCUACAGUUACCCUCAAGCUGCAUUUAGGUCCUUACCUUCGGUGUUUUGUAAAAUUGCACUAUGAGUAUUCCUUGGAGUACAAAGCUGUGUCUCAAAAUGAAUUUCAGCUUCAGAAGUUCCCACCACCUUGCUGGAGAGUUCAAGCUGCUCUGAUUUCAUUGGGUCUGCAAAUUCUAUGUUUCAUUUUCCUGGAAAUUUGACGUCGUUGACUUGAGAGGGGAGGCUCCAGGAAAGUUGAUUUACUUUGUUUUUUUUCUUUCCCUUCAAACAUGCUGAGAACUACAAUGCUUAAAUCCUCAUCAAUUAAACACACCAAUUUACAGUUAUUUGAUAAUGGCUGGGGUAUAUGGACCAAGAUAAAUUAGCAUUCAGAAGUGUAGAGAGGAAUCUGUAUUAGAUGCCAGAUAAACAUUUCUCUCAUGAGGAAAGAAAGUAGGGUGCUCAUGGUGAAAGCAGCUUACUUGGCUUUAAAAGAGGAGUUAGUCAGCUUCCCUCUGCUACUUAGUACAGGCUCACUAGGAAAUAGUGUUCAGUGUCUAAGACACUGCAAACCAAUACACUAUUUUGGAACAUGGAGCUUCCCAACAGCUCCAGCCACUGGCGUUUAUACUUGACUCCAAUAUGUAUUUUAUCACAGUACUUUUGUUUCUGCUAAUGUAGUUUAUGAAAUGCAUUUUUUCAUCUGUAUCCAAAUAAAAAUGAUUAAAUUCAAAAAUGAUUCUUCAAAAGAAGGUGCUUUCUGAAGUAGACUUUGCUGAAAAACACAACUUUUCUCAGAACAGAGUAACCCCUCAAAAGGUACAAUUCAGCAUGAGCCAAAGACAAAUGUGGCCCUAGUAAGCCACACUAAUUAAUAAAUAAAUUCACCAAAAUCAUUAUGAAAGUUAAGUCUAAUUCUAAGUAAGUAAAUAAGAACUGUCUUCAUUAUAUCACAACUUUCUUACUUUGUUCUUACUUUCUCAGAAAUCCUUACAAUUACCUAGAAACCAUAGAUGCAGAGAGAAGAAUAGCCAGGCAUCUAUGGUAAAGAUCAGAUUAUUUAAACCUUUUCCAAGAAUGGUUUAGAAAUAAUUGAUUCUCCUUCGAGACCUGGGAAUGGAAAAGAGGCCAUCUCAAGCUCUCUUUCAUCUUAUUAUCUUGUUUAUCAUAUUAUCCUGUAGUCAGUUCAGAUGUAGCUCAAAAGAAAGCAGACUCUGUCAGGAUUUACUUCUCUUUUUCUACUCUCAGCUUAAACAAAAGCAGAUUACCCUACGAUGCUUUAAUUUUACUCUAAAAGAGACAUUAUAUAGGGGCAUGUCGUGAUCAGAUGAUUCUGAUGGAUAAGUACUGUUUGAUUUUCACAGCCUAUACCUCACAACCCUAUAUCACACAACCUUAUCUUGCUGCUGACCAAAAAGAAUCAGCAUCUCAAUAUGAGAGUUCAUUCUCCUCUGCCUGCAGAUGGACUCAAAUAUGUGCUUCUCAGUUCCCAUCCAGAGUUUCUUCUGAGUUCAGCACAACCCCAUAAGAGUCAGAAGGUCCCGAGUCAUGCUUUGUACAAAGAAGGGAGUUGCUGGGUGGCAGAAAUAGGCAAAUUACAUGAAUGAAUAGCGAGACGAUUUUAUGUUGUUGAAUAUGAUUUUUCUUCUUGCUCAAAAAUUGUGCAAGGAGAACAGGAUGAGGAGAGGAGAUUAAAAACUGCAGUCUAUUCCAUUGCUGAUGGAAUCUGGACCUGGGUUAGAUGCCCUGGAAAAAAAAUGACAAAUAUAAAAUCAUUAUCCUUUUGCUGAGGUUUUACACUUUGUUGUUGUUGUUGUUGUAAUGUAUUGCUCAUGGAAGCAAACAUGAGUAACUUCUCAGUCUGUCCUCCUGGGGACAGAUAUGGCAGUGGAAAUGAAGGAAAGUUCUAAUGAUGCCUGUAAAUCUGUAAAGAAACCCAAACCACAAAUCCCCAAACUACAUUUAUAACAGAAUGAAAAUAUGAUAUAUAGAUAACAUUUCCUCUGCUUUUGACUUCUUUGCUUUCCUUUAGCACCUCUCAUCUCAUCAACGUCAGGCUUGUCUGCAAGCACCUCAGCCCAGGUGCUCUGCUCUCUCUUGCAGAGUAUCUGCACCUUCUGGAGGGCCUGCCCUCCAUUCCAGGGUGCUCCUCAGGGGUUUUCUGCCACUCUGAAGCAUUUCCACCUAUGAACCUUUAAUUCAGCUGCAAUUAAAUCAGCAUAACGUGGUGUGCCUCUUCUUGUCAUGGCUCCUUUGUUGCGCAACAUGAAGGUUUCAGAAAAAAGAAGUAUCUAAAUUUAUCUACUUUAUAAAUUUCAUAUUGUAAUAAAAAGAUAACUAGGUAAUGGCAUUAGGAAAAUCAAACACACGUACAAAAUACCAAGCUACAAAUAAAAGUAAAAAUAAAAAUAAAACGUGCAAAUUUCCAACACUUCUAAACAGUUUUACCUUUAUUUAUAACACCUGGGGUAAAAAUUUUGAGAUACACUGUGCCAGCUAGGAUUCACUGGUAUAGAGAAAUAGGAGUGCUCAGGCAGGUACCUGCCUGCUACUUCUGCUUGGGGAUGUGUUGCUGUGUUGGCAUCUGUUCCUGCAGUGCUCACAAAGAGCUGCUUUGGAUGCCCUUUGCAAGGUGAUAUCAGGUGGCAGAUAUAUAUGUACACAUAUAUAAGUGUUUUUGGUGUUUUCAAGAAGAAGAGCAGUCCCUAACCUCUAGCAGCCCCAGGGCAGAACUUUUCCUCAGGCCUCCCAGCUAUGAGUUACCCCAUUCCUAACUGUGGAUGUUGUCUCAUCUGUCUCCAUUGGACACUUUGGCAGGAGUCUGGCUGAGUCUACAGAGCUUCCUGACACAUAUGGGUUCAGCAAGGCUUUAUUUGUUCAGGCUUAGGCUGCUUCUCCUCUACACUUCCCACAGAGCAGUGUCUGCCUCUUCCAAACACUGGGUCCCUUUUCCAAACUUCUUUCUUGCCCAAGAGAAGUUACUGGCAUCUCUUAGGAGCAAACAGGUGCUGUCCUGAAAUCUCACCCUCGUCAGGCCUUCAUGGAUGGUUCUGCCCAACCCAAGCAUCUUUCCUCUGUCUUAUGGCUCACAUGUCUUCUUCUCAAGGCCAUUUUUUCUUCUCACUGAAUUAUUACACUGCUGCCAGGUGUCUUAAUGUUGUUUUGCUAACAAUAAAGUUUAACUUUUUUUCCACUAUAUGAGAGUAACUAUUUCAGCAGCCAUUUCAGUAUAAUCAUUGUUAUAGGAGGCUUGAUGCUCCACACUAGGGGAACAUGCAGUAGAUAAAGUACAAGAGGCUUUGCUGCCUAUGAAACAAACUUCAGGAAAUUUCUGUGUCUAUGCUUUUAGCCUGUUCAAAUGAACAUUAAUGCAAUUUAGCCUCUUUCUCUGAAGUUUAGAUUAAGCCCUGCUACAUCACAAAUGAAACGAACUAAGACUGAUAUAGACAUUUAUGAGCAGCUAUGAUUACCUCCAAUGACUGACACUUGUUUUACCUCCUUAACUCAAUUUUCUGUUCGAACUCUUCAAAUAGGAAGGGAGUGUAACAUUUACCUGUAUCUCUAUAGAUAGCUUAAUACAAUUUCAUUUAAUAGACGAGAUCUGGCAGACUACUGAGUUCAUUUCAGCAGGUAAUAUGCAAAUUGACAGGGGUCCAAUAUCCUCUGAUAUAAACGGUUUGCAGUUGAACAUAUAUUUUCCCAUUGAAGCAGCUCUGGCUUUGCUACUGAUUGUGUGGUUAUAUGGCUUUGGAAGGUGUUCUAUUUGUUUUGUUGACUUUGGCAAAUGUUAAUCUAAUUGCUUGUCCAUGUGACGAAAUAUUUCCAUGAACCAGUUUUCCUUCUUUAGACUUUGAGAUGCAUGCUCUCAUUCAGAGAUACGGGAUUUAAAAAUGCUUGUUGAGUAUUGAUUAUGAAUUCUUGUAGUCCACUUUGAUCAGUUCUGAUGUUUGUCUUUUAUACUACUGAAAUCCAGACAGAAAACCAAACAGUAAUAAAAAAAAAAUUAUCACAACACCACCAGAAUAC